AAGGAUUUAAUCAGGGCUCAUCGCGAUGAACUCCAAGAGCACGUCCCUGCUGACAUCCGACGGAUCUGGGACUUCCUUGACGGCAACGACCAUCGGCGACCUCAAAACGACAGAAGUCACGCGCUUCCUCAUCAAAUCGUCCUUGAAGAUGUAGCAACAGGAACAUCACGCCCGGCGGUAGACCGGAGUCAUCCUCUCCCCCGUCAAGUCGAAGCGGAGGCUGCGAUGAAAGAGAUAGAAGAACAGUACAUCCGUCUUAUGAUAGAACUAGGUCGGGCUGAGAGAGAGCUUAACAAAAGGCGUGGUUAAUUAUUUUUUGUUCUAAGGGCGACUUGUACCGUGUCGGCCGUGUAACCCAUCGUCCGUACCGAAUAAAAUAUAUUGGCCGAUUUGGAUGAUUAUGUCUUUUCUUUAGACGAUUCCUUUCGUAUCGGCUGUGUGCUUGUUCAUCGUAGUUGGCCCUUAUGCUCCGACCCAUAUACUAGGGUAGUACCUUUUCAAGUAUCUUCCGUUCAGAGCCCUAGUAAACUCUUCUCCUUCGAUCGUUUCCGGAAUAUAAGCAUUUCCUGGAGCACAUCUGCCGAUUUUAUACGGGCCUUCCCACGUAGGGGACCACUUACCGAAUUUAGGAUCUUUCGACCCGAUCGACAACACUAACUUCCAUACCAGGUCCCCCGGAGAGAAUUGUUUGACUUUGACCUUCUUAUCAUACCACCUGACCACUU
rnacentral:lncRNA from 1 species